AUAAAACAGGUUGUUUCGCAUGAAUUAUGCUAUUCCAUUGGUCCAUUAUUCUAAAAACUGAAUGCUCGCGAUGCAGGGUUUGUUGGAUGGAUAAAUACUUUAUCGAAAUAUUACUACUUUAAUCAUAACUAUACUUUUAAAAAGUUUUCUUUUCAUCUGGCAAAUUAUAAUUAGGAAGAAACCUUAAUUAAUUGAGUUUAACAGCAAUAAAAAUGUAUAAUAAAAGUUUAA